AGCCUGAACGCUGGCGGCGUGGCUAAGACAUGCAAGUCGUACGGAUGUAGCAAUACAUCAGUGGCGAACGGGUGAGUAAUGAAUCGCUAAUGUACCCCGGACUCUGGGAUAGCUGCCCGAAAGGGCAGGUAAUACCAGAUGAUAUAUCCUUAUCGCAUGAUAGGGAUCUCAAAGGUCCGCCGGUCUGGGAGCAGGCGAUUUUGAUCAGCUAGUUGGUGAGGUAACGGCUCACCAAGGCGAUGACGCAUAGCCGGACUGAGAGGUUGGCCGGCCACAUUGGGACUGAGACACUGCCCAGACUCCUACGGGGGGCUGCAGUAACGAAUCUUCCGCAAUGCACGAAAGUGUGACGGGGCGACGCCGCGUGUGGGACGAAGCCCUUCGGGGUGUAAACCACUGUCAGGGGAUAGAAAGUUCUGAUCAUCCCCAGAGGAAGGCACGGCUAACUCUGUGCCAGCAGCCGC
rnacentral:rRNA from 1 species